GACGUAGGGUGCAAGCGUUUAUCCGGGAUUUACUAGGGCGUAAAGCGCGCGUUAGGCGGCUCGUUAAGUGUGAAGUGAAAGCCCAGGGCUCAACCCUGGAACUGCUUUACAUACGUGGCGAGCUGGAGGGAUGCAGAGGUCUAUGGAAUUCCUGGUGUAACGGUGAAAUGUGUUGAUAUCAGGAGGAACACCCAUGGCGAAGGCAGGUAGACUGGGCAUCUCCUGACGCUGAGGCGCGAAAGCGUGGGUAGCAAACAGG
rnacentral:rRNA from 1 species